GGAGAAAACACAAUUAGCGGACUAAGGAAAUGAAUGUAGGUUAUGAGGCUUAUUCUGCCUGUAAUGGAUAUAAAUGUACUCUAAAACUUCAGUUACUGUUAUGGAUCAUGGACAACCGAGCAAAUUAUAUAUUAAACUAAUCGCAGAUGAUGCUACUGAUCGGCAGAGGUCUGCACGGCCUUCCAGAGAGUACAGAUUUCUGCGGAGAAUUGGCCCAUGGUAUGUGCUGUACACGUGCUACUAUACUGACAGCUGGGGAUGUGUCAGAGAAGGUAGAAAGAGAGAGAAGUUUCUCAGAAGACGCGGCACUAUUGGAAAGUCUAAUGGAUCCAGAGGAUGACCAAAUAUGCCUGCUUUGAAAUUCUGGAGAUACCUGACCCAACUGGCUGUUUUGUAUACUCAUCAACAAUACUGCUCUGUAUUCUACCACCCUGUUAUCCCAGACAAGGCACAGGAUUUC
rnacentral:lncRNA from 1 species